CGGAAAACCGAACAUGUGUCAUCCGGGGCCGGCUAAUACAUCCACACAUACCGGAUGCAGAUGAAACGGAACAUACAAACAUUUGUGUGUGUUAUGUGUUCGUUCUAGGAUCGCGCAUAAUCGUCGGGAACAGGUGAUAGUGUCACGAUGAUCUCACCGAGGUUGUCCUUCGAAAUCACAACAUCGCCGAUGGAUAUUUUACCGCUUGGCCGUUUCGUUCGUCCGGCUUUCCCGCGACACGUUCGCCCUGUUCUUACGACGUUUAAAGCAAUCUGUAUCGAUCGAGCGUCAGUUAGGAAACAGAUAUCCUACGGGGACCAAAAGGGGAAAAAAGGGAACACACGGGGCUGGGCAAACGGGCACACCCGCGAACCAACAUUGAUCGCCGACGCUUCGUCCGUUCGUUUCACUCGAUGCUUCUCCUGGCUAUUUUGCUCGGCCUCUCGGCCGUACGUCACUAUUAUCAGUUAUACGUUUGCUCGCGUCAAUGAUGAAAGCUCACCUAUCCCAACGUUUUUUUAGGAUGUGUUUCGAUUAUUAAAAUCCCGUCAUUACCAAGGCAUCAUCGGGAAACCACUGACUGGGACACGUAACGCACCGUACGGUACUGUACACUAGUGUGGAUGUGCACGUUGCAUGUGUUGCAGGCUUGAUCCCCCCACCAAGCACCUCCGGCCACACCGAUUCACACUGUUGUGCUGUCGUCACUGAACUUUAAGACUUGUUCACACUAGCAUGCGACAGUGGUCACAAAUGUAGCGCCGAAUCUGGCCAGCAAAGUCGCUGUUUUAAUAGGUCGAACGAACGGUGUGAGUAUUCCUUUAUAGGAGUGAAUAUGUAUCUCUUGUCCAAUAACGGUCGAGACCGAUCGAAGGUGUCUUGUCGCGCCAGAUUCAAAAAAGGUGCGUCCCCUAAGUAAACGUUGCUACUAUGUAUAGGAUCUUAAAGUGCAGCUGCGUGUACUUUGCAAAAAGGGGGAAGUGAUAUAUUUUAAAAUUGACGUUAAAGAGGGGUAAAUGACGCAUCGUUACACGAACGGUCUAAAUACGAUAUAUUUUUCCUUCUAAAUAUGAUAUUUUUCUUACAUUUGAAAUUCAUUUCGUGUAUCAGAUCAGCCAGUAAGUUUCACUCGUGACACGCGUGAAUGCAAAAUUUACGAGUUUUACAAAGAAGAAAUAGAAAAAUCGACAAAUUACAAUUAUAGAUUAAUAUAGAUAAUAGUUAAAGAUUAUUAAAAUAUUUAUAUCAAUAAAGGUCACAUUACUUACUGGAUGUUCUAAUAUAUUAUUGAUAUGUACAAAAACGAAUCGAUAUAAUAUGCGUAAUAAGAUAACCAAUGUAUAUUCUAAGAACCAGCAACGGAUCUCUUGCGUGAUAAGAAAUACUCUGUGCAAAUUUAAACUUCGAUGGAAUGCUUGGUAUAAAAAUGUAGAUCAAGUAAUAUGCUACAAUUUGUACGAAUAUUCUAGCGAUUUAUCUUGUGUUGCAGGAAAGGUGCACGAACGAAUACAAAUUGUAUUAACAAUUACUUGUGUGAGCUUAUUUGGUGUUCGCCAACUCGGACCACACACAAAGGGGCGACGAGCGUUGCUUACAGAACACUUACAAUUAGCCGCACCAUUUCUUUAGACGUCAAUUUAUAGACUGCGUCCUAUGAGAUGUGUUGGAUGGAUACCAAAUAAGUUGAUGUUCAAACUAACAAUAAAUAUCAUAUCUCUUUCGUUUUAUUUUUUCGCCUAAUCAAUCACAUUUUCCUCUUAUAUUACAAAACGAAGUUAUUUUAAGUUAAGAAUUAAUUAGGAAUUUUAUUAUAUUAAUGAAAAACUACGAAACAUGUUUGCAUAUAAUAUUUAAGAAGAUAUAUAAAUAUUUAUUCCUCUUGGAUAAAUAAUGGCAAGUUUAGUCAUUUUCAUUUCAUUCGUGAUUCUUAUUUGAUAUCCUAUACACAAUGUAUUAUAGAUGUAUAAUUUGGCAAAGUGUCAAACACUGCAGCACUGAUCUAUAGAACAUGUAAGAUCGUUACAAAUUUAAAUUCAGCUAUGUAAAGUCGACAAACACAAACUUGUAUUUUGGGCCGAUACAUUUUUAUAGAGAUUUAAUUUUCUUGCAAUUA